GACGAACGCUGGCGGCGUGCCUAAUACAUGCAAGUAGAACGCUGAAGAGAGGAGCUUGCUCUUCUUGGAUGAGUUGCGAACGGGUGAGUAACGCGUAGGUAACCUGCCUGGUAGCGGGGGAUAACUAUUGGAAACGAUAGCUAAUACCGCAUAAAAUGGAUUAUCGCAUGAUAAUCCAUUGAAAGGUGCAAAUGCAUCACUACCAGAUGGACCUGCGUUGUAUUAGCUAGUUGGUGGGGUAACGGCUCACCAAGGCGACGAUACAUAGCCGACCUGAGAGGGUGAUCGGCCACACUGGGACUGAGACACGGCCCAGACUCCUACGGGAGGCAGCAGUAGGGAAUCUUCGGCAAUGGACGGAAGUCUGACCGAGCAACGCCGCGUGAGUGAAGAAGGUGUUCGGAUCGUAAAGCUCUGUUGUAAGAGAAGAACGAGUGUGAGAGUGGAAAGUUCACACUGUGACGGUAUCUGACCAGAAAGGGACGGCUAACUACGUG
rnacentral:rRNA from 1 species